rnacentral:pre_miRNA from 1 species
GUAGCGGUAACUACCGCAAUUAAAAUAGCUGUAACGUCCGCUAUCAAGGUAGCUGUAACUUCCGCUAUUAAGAUAACAGUUACAGCUAUCUUGAUAGCGGAAGUUACAGCUAUCUUGAUAGCGGAAGUUACCGCUAUCUUGACUGCGGUAGUUACCGCUAU